GCGGGGCUGAGCCACGGAGGGGAUGGAGCUGCCACCAGCCUCGCCUCUCUUCCCCACAGCCCGGGUAUCGCCUCCCCUUGCCCGGCCGCGCCACUCCUUAGGCCGUGCAGGGUGAUCGCCGGCGCGAGCGCGGGCGCGGGUGGGCAACACCUCACCCUGGACUGGAGACCAGGGCUCGCCAGGGCAACCUCACGGGGACUCCUCGCGUCCCAGGUGACCUGCACGUCUCCCGAGCGCUGGAAGACCCCGAUCCGAACGAAGCUGCGUGCCCUCCUCCCCGGUUCCCGGGGCGGGGAAUCGUUGUGGGGCUCGGCCGCUGGGCCCCGGGCUCCCGGGUAGCCCAUGGCGGGUAGCGACCUGGCUAGUGAGGGGUCAUCGCCGAGGGGCGGCGCGACCCGGAGAACCGGGGCCACCGGCGGGCUGCGGAGCCAGACGGCCGCCAGCUGCCCGGAGCCGCUGUCCGCUGCUGAAGCUCCGGCCGAGCGUGGCGCGCUGCCCGCCUGGAUGCGCCUCUACUUCUAUGGGAUGCACGGCAUCACCCUGGACGUGCUGGUGUCCUCUGCCAGGCGCUUCGCCCGCAGCCUUGAUCUGCGGAUGCUGGGCUUCUCUUCGCCCUACCGCUGCCUCCUGCACUCGCUCACCCACUUCGCCCUGGAGCAGCUCUACCUGCAGCGGCCG
rnacentral:lncRNA from 1 species